AGUGAACGCUGGCGGCGUGCUUAACACAUGCAAGUCGAACGAGAACGGAUUAUAGCUUGCUAUAAUUGUCAGCUAAGUGGCGCACGGGUGAGUAACGUAUAGGUAAUAUGCCUCUUACUAAGGGAUAACAAAUGGAAACGUUUGCUAAUACCUUAUACUCCUUAUUAACAUAAGUUAAUAAGGGAAAGAUUUAUUGGUAAGAGAUUAGCCUGUAUUGUAUCAGUUAGUUGGUGGGGUAAUGGCUUACCAAGACUAUGACACAUAACUGGUUUGAGGGGAUGAUCAGUCACACUGGAACUGAGACACGGUCCAGACUCCUACGGGAGGCAGCAGUGGGGAAUAUUGCACAAUGGACGAAAGUCUGAUGCAGCAACGCCGCGUGGAGGAUGACACAUUUCGGUGCGUAAACUCCUUUUAUAUGAGAAGAUAAUGACGGUAUUAUAUGAAUAAGCACCGGCUAACUCCGUGCCAGCCGCCGCAGUAA
rnacentral:rRNA from 1 species